CUUCUUCAUUGCCAAGUUCUCAAGGUGCUUUGCCUGGUCAUCAGAAUGGAGCUGCCGAACAUGGGGAGUAGACGUUGCAUGGCCAAUCCAGUGGAAUGUCCAAAAAUCCAUCAGGGGAGCAGCUCGCUGCUGGGGCUGGUGUGCGCUCUCAGUUCUCUACCCUGUCGUCUCGCUCCCUCUCGCACAACUAGGCACCGCAAAGGAGAGUAUGAUACCAGGAUCAACUUAGCUAUGCAAGGUAUGGAGAUGAGCUCAAACAUCAUCUAGAAGCAGGCUUCUUACUAAUAAGAACAUGAAGAAGAGAUUGCACUUUAAGAAGACAGCUUGCUGACUAUUCAGUGAAGGUACCAUGCAUACUGCAUACAGAAUAUUACAUUACCUUUUUUACCCUCUUCGACAUCCUCGGUUUUUGCUUUUCGAUAUGCAUCCACAAAAUCUAACUGGACUGUCUUGGUCUAAUGUUUGGUGUUUCAAAGCCAAAAUACUUAAUGAGAAACAUGUU